GGGUCGACUGUGAAUAUAAGGAAUUUGUAUAAUUCGUAGAUUAAAAUAAGGUAAAUAAUUUUUACACACCUAGGUCUAGUUACAUCCCAGAGUAACAAUUCUCCAGCUGCUGCACAUACGACAUUUAAAGGAUUAGGACUCCAGUCUGCAGAAACUAAAGACUCCUCCCUGUGCCAACACACUGUAACCCCUGGAGAAGUUAGGUAAAACGAUGAGAUGCACUUUUGGUCCUCUUUCACAGCCCACAGUUUACAGGAAUUUUCAAGUUUCUGAAUUACCUCAUAUAUGUUGACAUCGUUCAGGUUACUGUUGUACAAUCUGAUCUUGAAGUCAGCUCCUGCGACACAGAAUGCCACAAUUUUGGGUACAACACUAAGAGAUGUUUCUGGACUCCAAG